rnacentral:rRNA from 1 species
GAGGUCGUGGAGGACCGAACCCACCAGGGUUGAAAACCUGGGGGAUGACCUGUGGUUAGGGGUGAAAGGCCAAUCAAACUCCGUGAUAGCUGGUUCUCCCCGAAAUGCAUUUAGGUGCAGCGUCGUGUGUUUCUUGCCGGAGGUAGAGCACUGGAUAGGCGAUGGGCCCUACCGGGUUACUGACCUUAGCCAAACUCCGAAUGCCGGUAAGUGAGAGCGCGGCAGUGAGACUGUGGGGGAUAAGCUCCAUGGUCGAGAGGGAAACAGCCCAGAGCAUCGACUAAGGCCCCUAAGCGUACGCUAAGUGGGAAAGGAUGUGGAGUCGCAGAGACAACCAGGAGGUUGGCUUAGAAGCAGCCACCCUUGAAAGAGUGCGUAAUAGCUCACUGGUCAAGUGAUUCCGCGCCGACAAUGUAGCGGGGCUCAAGCGUACCGCCGAAGUCGUGUCAAUCCAGCAGAUAGCCCCAACGGGUGCUGGGUUGGGUAGGGGAGCGUCGUGUGCCGGGUGAAGCCGCGCCGGAAGGCAGUGGUGGACGGUUCACGAGUGAGAAUGCAGGCAUGAGUAGCGAUACACACGUGGGAAACGUGUGCGCCGAUUGACUAAGGGUUCCUGGGUCAAGCUGAUCUGCCCAGGGUAAGUCGGGACCUAAGGCGAGGCCGACAGGCGUAGUCGAUGGACAACCGGUUGAUAUUCCGGUACCCGCUUUGAAACGCCCAAUAUCGAAUCCUCUGAUGCUAAGUCCGUGAAGCCGCCCUUGAUCUCUUCGGAGUGAGGGGGAGUGGUGGAGCCGACGACCCGAGGUGGUAGUAGGUAAGCGAUGGGGUGACGCAGGAAGGUAGUCCAGCCCGGGCGGUGGUUGUCCCGGGGUAAGGGUGUAGGCCGUGUGAUAGGCAAAUCCGUCACACAUUAAGGCUGAGACCUGAUGCCGAGCCGAUUGUGGUGAAGUGGAUGAUCCUAUGCUGUCGAGAAAAGCCUCUAGCGAGUUUCAUGGCGGCCCGUACCCUAAACCGACUCAGGUGGUCAGGUAGAGAAUACCGAGGCGUUCGGGUGAACUAUGGUUAAGGAACUCGGCAAAAUGCCCCCGUAACUUCGGGAGAAGGGGGGCCAUGUCUGGUGAUCCAACGUGCUUGGUGAGCUGGGUGUGGCCGCAGAGACCAGCGAGAAGCGACUGUUUACUAAAAACACAGGUCCGUGCGAAGCCGUAAGGCGAUGUAUACGGACUGACGCCUGCCCGGUGCUGGAACGUUAAGGGGACCGGUUAGCCAGGAUUCGUUCUGGCGAAGCUGAGAACUUAAGCGCCAGUAAACGGCGGUGGUAACUAUAACCAUCCUAAGGUAGCGAAAUUUCCUUGUCGGGUAAGUUCCGAUCCUGCACGAAUGGCGUAACGACUUCUCGACUGUCUCAACCAUAGGCCCGGUGAAAUUGCACUACGAGUAAAGAUGCUCGUUUCGCGCAGCAGGACGGAAAGACCCCGGGACCUUUACUACAGUUUGAUAUUGGUGUUCGGUUCGGCUUGUGUAGGAUAGGUGGGAGACUGUGAUACGGGCACGCCAGUGUUCGUGGAGUCGCUGUUGAAAUACCACUCUGGUCGUGCUGGAUGUCUAACCUGGGUCCGUGAUCCGGAUCAGGGACAGUGUCUGAUGGGUAGUUUAACUGGGGCGGUUGCCUCCUAAAGAGUAACGGAGGCGCCCAAAGGUUCCCUCAGCCUGGUUGGCAAUCAGGUGUUGAGUGUAAGUGCACAAGGGAGCUUGACUGUGAGACCGACGGGUCGAGCAGGGACGAAAGUCGGGACUAGUGAUCCGGCGGUGGCUUGUGGAAGCGCCGUCGCUCAACGGAUAAAAGGUACCCCGGGGAUAACAGGCUGAUCUUCCCCAAGAGUCCAUAUCGACGGGAUGGUUUGGCACCUCGAUGUCGGCUCGUCGCAUCCUGGGGCUGGAGUCGGUCCCAAGGGUUGGGCUGUUCGCCCAUUAAAGCGGUACGCGAGCUGAGGUCGGCGACGCCCCGAGACAGUUCGGUCCCUAUCCGCUGUGCGCGUAGGAGUCUUGAGAAGGGCUGUCCCUAGUACGAGAGGACCGGGACGGACGAACCUCUGGUGUGCCAGUUGUCCUGCCAAGGGCAUGGCUGGUUGGCUACGUUCGGGAGGGAUAACCGCUGAAAGCAUCUAAGCGGGAAGCCUGCUUCGAGAUGAGGACUCCCACCCACUUGAUGGGGUAAGGCUCCCAGUAGACGACUGGGUUGAUAGGCCAGAUAUGGAAGCCGGGUGACCGGUGGAGUUGACUGGUACUAAUAGGCCGAGGGCUUGUCCUC